GCUGCUGCCACGCACGGAAGUGACGUCACAGUUAUGAUGACGUUGUUUAAACAAGUAUGGCGUGUUCCGGUUUAUAGUUUUGCGCGCGCUGCUGGAGCUGCUUCAGCUUUUCAGCUUAGCUAAAACAGAAUUUUACGGUUUCUUACUGUGUUGUGUGAUAGAAUGUUGUUCUAGUUAGUUGCGCUGGAAGAACCGGAUGGUGUUCGAGCUUGCGAUCUCGAGCCACACUUGGGCGCAACGCUGGAGCAGCUCGUUUCUUUAUGCCUUGGAGCGCGUUUAUGGACUCGUACUGUGGCUGCAGGCGUCAUCUGUAAGUUUGGGAGGUGGGAGCACCUUCUGCUUGCUUCAGCUCCUGUCUGACCUUGCCCUUCAGCACAACAGUCUAAAGUUCACAAAGCCAGGAUGCCCCCGGAGGUGAAUGACACAACCUGUCAGCCCAGCCCUUGGAGCAGCCAAUGACCUGCCUAUCGAUGCGAAGGACAACUGCAAUGAUAACUGCAAAGCUUGCAAGGCUGGGACGAUAAAUUUCUUCAGUGACAUCCAUCUUGAAGGCCUAGUCCUUGAAGUGAAUGGCGCAUAGAGUGCAGACUUAUCUUGCCACCACAACGAUGACUGCUCCAUAGCUCACAAGGCUGGGAUAGCAAGUCUCAUCGGAAGGCUGAUCGUGCAGGCCUAGCCCUUGAAACCACCAGCUGUGUGUCUGCCAAUAAUCUGUGCCUUCAUCGUGAUGGGCUCUCCAAGGUCUGCAAGGCUGGAACGCUGAGGUCAUCCCAUCUGAAAUUUGGAAGCUUUGCCCUUCAAGCAUCCAGUACCACCAUGGCAGUAUUAAAAAUGGGAGGAACUGCAAGGAUCACUAGUGUUUACUAACAAUUAUGUAGCAUCCUUGUCUGUGCACUCACAAGUGCCCUAGGGACCUAAAAGACUGAAAUAUGGGACAUUGAGUGGCUGAGAAUUAUGGGAAUAUUCUUGCACACUGACAUCAAAGAAAAGUAAUAGAAUACUUACAUCUGUGUCACAAAUAGUUGUUAAGUUCAACUUAGUUUGCUUUCAACGAGAGUGACGUAGAGGCUUGUGAAUACUUUGAAUUGGACAUCUGCUGCAGUAAAGUGAAGCUCGAGGUCCGAUUGACCAAAUUAGACAAAAAAGCGCGUUAAACAUCCGCCAAGCCAACAGGGAUUUUAAUAAGCAGGCCAUAGAGCUGGGUUUGUUCACAUGACUAGAGGAUGCCCAUUGAUAAAGCUAAGUAACUCGGUCUAAAGAAUGCUGCAAGAAUUUAACACUACUUUAGUAGCGAUAUUCUCACAGCAAACAGAUGCGUUGCAGAAGCAACAGUCAUAGCUCCAGAAACACAGAAACUCGGAGGCGAAUCUGAAUUUGUGCCACAAAAGCCAUUCUGUUCUCUGUCAGCAGGUCUGCUAUGCUGUGUCGGUGAAUGGGUGCUGUGUCUGCCCUGAAGACGGCGACAGCUUACCUUUAACUGGGACUGAUAGCCCAUCUAGCACCACUGCUAAAGUAAUGUUAAACAUUUAUCCUAAAGACAAAAACGCAAAACAAAGCAAGAGGGAGGGAGGGAUGAAGCUUGCAGAAAAACGAGACAAGGAUUCUUUGAGAUAAGGUGUGGCAGUCAUGAUCAGAACCAGAACGAUAAGUCAAAGGAGAGUUUUUGCACUUUCGUGUGUGAUCAAACGGACAGGCAUCAUACUGAAGGCGUCAGGAGGAGCACAAGGAUGAAGCAAAGGCACUUGGCAGCUUGGAAAGACAGUCACGCAAUUGAAUGCAGAAAAAUUGCGGGAAACAACUCAAGCACCCGAAUGCAAGAAAAGAGUGAAAAUAAUACGUUAUGUUAAAGAAAAAGGAUUUCCUUUUGAACACAAUAUUAAUAUAACACUGCCCCACUGUACGAUACAUCAAACAUUAUACACAGCUUCAAAAUUGCAUAACUGUGCAAACUCAGCCUGAAAUAAAUGGAAUAGAAUUUGUUCCUUGUGAGCAAAUCGGGAUGUGUGGCUUGCAUAAGCUGAAUGUGUGCAGUUAUUGCUUAGCAGAAAAGUUAUUAAUUAGUCAAACUUCUAUAGUGGUGACCAAAAUAGGAGUUCGGCAAUGGGAAAGAAAAGAACAUUAACAUUUGUGUGCAGUAGUGUGAGAGUUAACGUGGGCAGAAGUGCAAUGUGUAAAUAGGGUCUAUUUUGGGCAGAUAUACCGAGAUAUAAAUUGCACUGGUAUUGUACUGAAUCAAGUUAUCUUGACAUGAAGCAAUAGCCUGCCCUUUAAUUUGCAUAGAUUUUGCCAUACAGUCUUGCAUGGCUGUUAGACUACUGCAUACUUUGGCAAAGCCAAAUAGCUGUCAUGCUAAAUGUCAUGUAUAAGGCAGCCAUGUAUGUCUAUCCACGAGAAGGCAUAUCUGUAUUUUAUGACUGUGCGCAAGUUUAUUGUUGACAGAUACCGUAUGUUGUGCAUAACAUAAAGUAUGUCCUUGCAUUCAUAAUGGACGGCAAUAUUUUUCAAUUCUACCCUGCCCCCUCACUCUAGGUCUUUGUCCAGAGAAGGAAUGCCCACUGCUUGAGUGCCCGUGACACAGUCGAUGCUGCUUCAAGCUUCAACAAUUGUUGUGUCAGUUACAGCUAUGCAAGCCAAUAUUUGCACCAAAAAGAUGUUACUUAGCUCCUUCUGGUUUUUUAAAUAAAGUACUUUACCAACAAAA